AAGAACUAUUGCAACUCUGCAUUUUCUUCUUUGCUUGUUAAGCAUAACACUGAGUGUCGUUGGUGGUUAAAUUUACAAUUUAGUCUUUAGGUUAAGGAAUAUCCAAGGUGCUAUGGUGACUAAAAGAGAAGAACUGACAUCACCCAGAGCUCAAUACAGUGGCUGAGGCUGCCUCCUUAUAGUGGCGCCACUCUGUGUUACCACCCUUUUGGGGACAGAGUGAGCCUACAUUCAUUUAUAUGACGUGGAAGUAUGACGUUGGAUGGAUACAAUGGAAUGUGUGGAUCUGAGUAGCAAAAGAAUGGAUAUACCAGAUUGUGUCUCUUGGCUGUUAGGUCCGAAUUCAUCCUUCUAGAUACUCUCCAUCCCCUUUUCCAGACUCACUCAUCUGGCCAAUUUCAUGUUAGGUUCUUCCAAUGGGAGGCGUAGGUAGUAGGUCCCAGUGUGCGAGAAAGAGAUUAAUCAUUUCCCCGGCUACUGGCAGCAGCAAGGAUGUGCAGCUGGGCUUGACUGCUUGUGCUACAAGCUCCACAAGCCUGGGGGUGGUUUCAGCAACAUUGGCAGUAAGUAGCCACUCCUCGGAUCCAGCCGAGGGACAGUGGCAGCUUCCCAUUCUUUAGGUUACAGCUGCCUUCUUUGUCUGCUCCUAGCCCUUCCAGCAGUUUUUAACCAGUUCCCUACACUGCAACCUUCUCUGCUUGAAAUAUAUACAGCCGUUUCUACUCUCCUGUUUGGACACUGAGUGCUACAGAGAUCUUUCUGUAUCAGAACAAAGUCAGCUUCCUCAUUCUCUAGUUUAAAAAAAGAAAAAAGAAAUGUGUCAUAUUUAUAUAAGAAGACCCAGAUAAUGGAUACUUAAGUUGCUCUCAAUCUUCUUUCUUAAUCAGUAAGGGCAAUAAAGGCAUUUCCAUUUUAGGAAAGUAUCAUCAAGGCAUAUAUUUGGCAAUGUUUGUCUCUCCCUCAAUCUGGAAUGAUACCUGCUAAAGUUCUUAUGCAGGGAUCUAAAUGGCUAUAAUGAGAUUCAACUAGACUCUAGAAUCUAGAGAGUGUCCAUCUGCAGCUAGUUAUUUAUUGCUUAAUAAAUAUUCUAAAGUAUUGUCCGCAUAUAUCCUAGUCUUAUCUCUUCCAAACGAAUUUCAAGCACCUUGAGGCUGGAUCUUAUAUCACCUUUUGAAUAUGUUAAUGGGGUGUGGGGAGAAGUUUUAGUAGUGCCUCUUCCCUUAUGAUUAAUGUCAUCUGAAUGUGUCAUCUGAUUGGCAGGCUGGGAAGAGCCCUACAUGCCUUCAUGCGAAUGGGGCUCAGGUUUUCUCUUGAGAAAGAAGCUGAUGACGCAGCUAACACUGCCACAUAGCGUAGUGGCUCAAAUCGAGGUCCAGUUAAUUUUAUUAUUGGUCUUACUCCAAAUCCCUUUCAUGGAGGCAGUGCUCCUUAGAAACCAUUUUCCCUUAAUUAUAAAAUAUUUUAAUUGAUUUGUGGGCAGUGCUCUAAUUCCGCCUGUGUGGCCUGUCCCCUUGGUCCACCUCGGGGCUGGAAGGCUGCCCAGCCCAGCACAAUGCCCUCGUCCCCACGGGGCUGCCUCAGGCCCCAUCUCAGCCAUCUGAUAUUCUGCUUCCGCUAGACUAAAGAAUGAAGGCCUCUUUAGCUCUUUGCUAACAGCAUCCUUCUACUCUGUCUUCUGAUUGUAUCUUCUUUAAUUAAACAGCACUUUUGCUAUCUUCUCAUCUUUUAGGUAUUCAGAUCAUUCUGGCAUUCUACUUCCAGCUCUUAGAUUUAUUUGAAUUUUCUAAAAUGGGAGAGGUUGGGUCCUGUUUACAGUUGCCAUGCCAACUCCCAAUCAGCCUUUUCCUUGGGAGGAUUUUUCUUUAGCUGCUCUACACUUUCACAGCAACUUAUAGUGUGACAGGAAUCUUCAAACAUUCGCAAGCAACUUGGCCAAUAGGGAUGUGGGGCUGCAGUUCCUAAGAUGAAUAUCCAGGCUUUUUCCACGAGGGUUCUACUUUUAUAAUCUUCAACAUAAUCCCUUUAAAGCAAGAAUCCCUGGCAAAUCCAAGCUGCUAUGGUAUGAAAAUUCUAAUUAAAGGCAAAAAUCAAAGCUGCUUUUGGUGGUAAUGCUGUUAUACUGUCAACCUCAUUGUCAGUCAAAUUAACAAAAUACAUUUCUAAUAACCCAGCUAAUGCAGUGAGAAAUAAAUAGCCAAGUCCAUUUAACUCUCAGAAGCUUAAAUGCUGUUAAAUCACAUUUCCUGUUUAUGAGGCUGAAUCUGAGAAGAUAUGCAUUAAUUAUAUUUCCAAAUAGUCCAAAAAAAUGAGAAGGCAUGCAUGAAAAGGAAAAUUUUUAAUUUUUUAUAUUUCAGUAAUAAUCACACAUAACAAUGAUUUAUGAUCACUUCUACUACAGCUAACAAAAUAGUUUAUACUGAACAUUUAGUAGAUUAAACAGCAGUUAUCCAAGAUAAAUGGUCCAUUGAUAUGCUCAUUUUCUCGAUAGCCACAUCCACAGGCUAAGUCCACAACUGGAUCACAUCCACAUUUCAUGGUAAUUGGUUUUAAAACUAUCAAAACAGGAGGAACAUGGAAAUUCCAUCCGCAAAUCCUCAGCGGCCCAUUGGAGAUCUCUUAAUGCAUGUGCUUUUCUUUUCAUGGGAAUUCCACAUGCAAGUUGUGAAGCAGAGGAAGGUGCUAUUAGAAGUACCAGGUCUGACAUCAACACGAAUUGGUUUUACCUCUUGCUGGCCCAGGACUCCCGGCUGGUCCUGCAGUGUUGGUAGUAUACUCUCUCAGGUAUGGGUGAGGCUCCCCCCUGCUCUUCCUUCAGACCCAGCUCGGAUGUCAGCACAUCAGGAGGGCUUUCCGGACCACCCGAUGUGAUCAUGCCUUCACCUCCCACCAUGCCGGAUUCCCCGUCGUGCUUUGAUUUUCUUCAUGGCGUUUGUCAAUAUGUAUCUCUGUAGCACCCCGAACAGGUCCUGUCACCUAUGAGGUUUAAUAUGGCGCAUCCUAGUGCAACCAUGAUGGCAGCCAUGAUGGGGCCAGGGAUCCAGGAGAAUUUCUAUUCAUAAUGUUGAUAGCCCCGGGGAAUGCAGACAGCCCACGUCACACUCCUGAAGUUGCCAAAAAUCCCUUUAAAAUGAUCCAACAGAUGUCCUUCCUUGGGGUCGAGCGGAUAUAAAUCACAACGGUCUGCUUUCAAUUCCUAACUCGGUGUCUUAGGGGCAGCAAAAUCAAUCACUCUCAGCUUACAGCUGUAGAAGCUGUGCCCUGAACAACAGCAGAGAGCACCCUUCACAGCAGCGUCGAGGAGACUGGAGCUAUAAGGGGGCUUGUCCAGGUCAUACAACUGGAUGACGAGAUGGACCCUUUGUCUAAAAACAGUAAGUGAGGAGGAUACAGAGAAGCAAUUGAAGGAAACAAAGGCAAAAGUGGGAAGUCCCCCUCUGGCAAGCAGCUCCAAGAAGACAGAGCUGGUGCCAGAAUGGAAACCUUGGGACUCCAGUUGCUGCAUAAAAAAAUAAAUAGAGGAACAACAAUAACACCCACAUCUCCAUGCUGGACAGCAGAAGAGCAAGAAGUUGCCGAACAUUUGGUUUUUUUGUUUUUUGCUAGAUUAUUUUUUACUCUCUAAAUCUAAGCUCCUAUAUUCCCCUUCUUCCCUGUUUCUAUAUGUUAGAAGCUCAGUACAAAUGAAAAAAAAAAAAAAAAAAAAACCAAAAAACCCCCCAAAAAAACCCCAGAACAAAAGCAUUAAGGCUGGGUGCUUCAUUUAUUGUCAACAGGGAUGUUUCAGACUAUUGUUAAACUAGAAGGGACUCAAUGCUUUAGAAACAUCUCAUCACUCAAUUUAGUGAUUUUCAUAUACUUUUAUUAGACUGCCAUGCAGCAAAACAUGGAACUCCUCCCCAGUCCCCUCUACUUCUUCCAUCUCUCAUCAAGGCAGUUUCCUUGUUAUGGUGAAGGGAAAACUGGAUACAACUGCAGUAUUUCUAGUCCUAUCUGAUGAAUAAUACUCAGCCCAUUUCAUCAUCUGAGCCUUUAAGACAUAGUAUCUCUUAAGGACCCUGUUAGAUGGGGUUGGGGGAAGCGUCUUGCCCUGUGAAAACAGAUUCAUGCUAGGAGAGGUCAACAAAGACAAUAAAAUAAAUACUUAUUACAUGCUUACUAGAUGCCAGACAGAGUGUCAAGUAAUAAAUGAGCAUUAUCUUAAUUAAUUCUAAUAAUGAAUCCUUCUGCAAGAGAGGUAGGUAUUCAUAUCAACCCCAGUUUACAGAUGAGGAACCUCUUGGAGAGGUUAAGUAACUUGCCCAAGGUCACACAGCUAGUAAGUGGUAGAGCUGGGAGCUAAUCCAGGUCUAACACAGUAUUCAUUAUCUUAAUCCCUAAACUAUAAUGUCACUUGAGUAUGGUGAUAAUAGAAGUAGUGAGAAUCGCCAAGGUAAUAAAAAAUAAAUAAAAUUCAAGCUCAUAACUUCUCAAUCUGAGGUCACCAAAGGUGGUCCAUGGUUUGGGUUGGGGAGAGUCUAUGAAUUAUUUUCAACAAUUCAAAUAGUCUAAUCCAUGGGUUCUUUGUCUUUUGUGUGCCAUGGACCCCUAUGGCUGUUUAAUGUAGCCUAUAGAUACCUCUCAGAAUAAUGUUUUUAAAUACAUGAUUCACUCAUAUAUAUAUUAUGAUACAUAUCAUAAUAUAUAUACAUAUAUAUUAUAGAUUACAAAUGAAGCCAUUACAUUGAAAUGAUCAAAACAGCUAAACAUGAAUUUGUGAUACAUCAACAUAUAUCCUUCUAUAUGAACACAUAUAGAAGAGCAACCCGUGGGUCUGAUAACUCCUGUAACUUUAAUGUAGUGAUGGUCAUAAGCAUUGUUCCUAGCUAUUUGCAACAGCAUCUGUGUUUGAUAUGAAAAUAUCUCUGCUUUCUACGGUGACAAAGCCAAAGGCACUGCUAAUACUGCUGUGGUUUGUUGCCUACAUUCAUAAUGGAAGGAAAUGAUGUUUCCGUUAGAGGUUAGUGAAAAUAAAGACGCAAUUUUUUUCCCUUCUAACUUCACUGACCCCUUGAAUCCUAACCAUAAACCCUUAACCCAGGUUAGGAAUCUAUUAAAUAACCUAACGAUCACCUAAUGGAAGUGCUAAGUUUACUCCUGAUAAGGCUUCAGUCUAAAUCAUUGCAUUUUUAUUUUUGCUUUGGCAUGGAACUAAUUGUAUCAAUCUAUUAUAUCAAUAGUAUUUGAUCAAUAAUUAAUAUCCAGAAACACACUGUAACUGGUGGGCAACAACUUUGCUGAGAACUCUUCUGGAUGAUGUUUACAGGAGACCCUGCUUGCUCUAGUUGUAUCUUUGUUGGAAAGUAACAGAAGACUUUGCACAUGAGGAUCACAUCAUUUCAGUAUGCGACAGAAUGCUGCUGGGAAAAGGAAACUAAUGUUUUGAGUAAAUAAAAGAGUUCUUCUACGAGUCUAAAUUACCAAUGGUCUAUCAGUAUUUUGAGAGAACAAAGGUCACUUGUAAACCUACAAUGCAUGGCAGGGAACUGAGGUUUAAAAUUUAGUUUAAGGUUUUGGCUGAGGAUUUCAGAGAACCAGAGCCAUACCAGUAAAUACUGUUGACUAGAGGACACUUUUCUAAAUGUGAUGCUUCAGAUCAAUGGCUGUUAAGAGUAAAUCUAUGUUCUCAGGUUUCUGGUUGGCCUGUAAGUAACUAAAAUAGGUCAGGAUUUAGAGCACCCUUUAGGCAUCAGAACGGAAGUUUAUCCAAACGUAAGCCACACAGGAUUCCUGCAAGAUGGAAGCCAUUUCCUUAUCAAUAGAGGAACAAAAGACAUCACAGUUUAGGGUUCCCCAAAACCAGCUGCAUAUUAAAUUCCCUAAGAAGCUUAAAUAUUGAUGCUCAGGUCUUACCCCAGACCAGUAAAGUCAGAAUAUCUGGAAAUAGGCCUUGGGAAUCUAUAUUUGCAAGGGUUGAGACACAAUGGCUUAGGAAAAUGUAGUGGACAAGGAUGGUUCCAAAUUCUUUGCCGUUCUUGCCAUCAGGAGGAAUCUGGCCUUGCUCUGUGAUUUGCUUUGACCAAGAGAAUGCAAUGGAAAUAACAGUCUGGGGCUUUUGAACCCUGGCCUUAAAAGGACGGGCAUCUUUUGCUUCUCAGUUUGGGAGACCUGCUGCUAUGCUGUGAAGUCCAGACCAGGACAGUACAUGGUCAGAGGUCAUAUGGAGAGAGCGCUGGAGGACAGGAGAUUCCCUUGGAGACUACCUAGGAGACUACCUUACCCAGCUUUAGCCAAACUCUCAGCUGAAUGCAGCUGCGUGUGCGACCUCGGCCUACCCCCAAUCAGAAGAGCCGCUCUACUGAGCCCAUUCCACCCACAUAAUUGUGAGAAAUAAUAAAUUAUUGUUGUGGUAAGCCAGUAAGUUUUGGAGCGAUUUCUUAUUCUGUAAUAAAUAACUGAAAAAGGGAAAUAUUUCCUGACAAUUCUUGAUUCUUCUCCCUGAAAGAUCUGUUGCUCCUAUCUUGGAAUCUUGAUGUGAACUGAAAAACAAGGCUGGAUCCGUCUUUCUAAUGCAGAUAGAAGACAUAAUGACACUAAGAGCUCAAGUGAAAGCUUACAUUAUGCAAACAAAGGAAGACCAAUUACCCCAUGUGGCCUUAGGCAAACCACCAACUCCUGCUGCUGUCUAUUCACCCACCCCCACGCAAACCCUGAGAGCUUGCAACUGCCUUGUCUCGGUGGCCUUUGUGGUAGACAGAUGCAUCAUCAGAUCCCCUUUCAAGGACGGACUUGCGGCCCAGCUGUGGGAAGUCCAGUCAGCAGACGGCUUCCAGCUCCUUCGGGGUCUGCCUCAGCUGCAGAGCACAGCCUUUCCCCAAAAUGAUGCCCUUCCUGGGGCAUCCCACAUUUGGUGACUAAGUGAGGCUGGGGGUAUAAAGGCCUGAUCAUUUUUGUCUGAUGUAAGAUGCUCUGAUGGAAACUACUCUCUCUGGAGCUCCCUUGCAGGUUGGCCAAGGUUUGUCAGGCCUCUAUCAUAGUUUGGUUUUCUCCUCUGCCAAUUCUGCUUCCUACCCCUUCCUUUCUCAGGUGUUAAUCCCUAAUAAACAUCUUGCACUCCAAACUUUGCCUCAAUGCCUGCUUCUGGAGAAUCCGUGAAGCUCUUGAUGGCAAGGUUUAUAUUGAGGGCAGGGGUAUGUUUUGAUUGCUAUGUCUGAUUUUCUGCCCACAGUCUGAUUCCCAAAAGCGGACAGAAGAACUUUCCCCAGGUCUGGAAGAUGGAGACAAAGAACCCAUGAAUCAGGCCAUCCCUCUUGGUAAAAAUCCAGACCUGGGAGAGAGAUGAAGAUUCUGUUUAACAAUUUCUGUAACAAAGCCAAAACAUGUUCCCAGGAAUUAGCUGUAUUUGGUAAUCACUGUCUCAAAUCUGUUUAACAGUUACUUUCCUCCA